CUCGCAGGUGUAGGUUUAUCCAUUGGCUACCCGUUGGAGCAUCACUUGCAGGGCUCUCUGUAAUGUCACUUUUUGUAGAAAUGACUCUCUAGAGACGCGACAUAAGAGCGCAAAAACAUUUGACAUCAGAUCGCUUAUGGUAAGACCUAGCUAUCAUCAAUAAUUUUAGUCCAUUAAAUGUGGUCUUAGUGAAAGGGUGUUCCUUUAUCAUGGUUGAAGGUUGCAUGACUUAUGCUAGGUGUUUUCAUACUUUUCGGUCUCUACUUGACUCUUGCGUACCUACUUUUUUAGUGGCCAGCGAUCUUGCACUGAUUCUUGCUAGGGGUUCUCAAGGAAAUUCAAUAGCCUAAAAAUGAUAUGUUUCAUUCACCUCUUAAUAGUAAUACGAGUAUUUUGUUUAUUUCCUACUCCCUUUUAGUGGUUACUGAUUAGUCACUCUUAAAGGUGAAUGCACAUGCAUAAUAGGUUUGUCAUGGCUGCGUUUUGCGGCCCCUGACUACUGGAAAGUAAUCUCCUUUGGAUGAUUUGUAUUUUUUUUAUGGAAUUUGUACUUAGAUAACACAUCCAAGGAAGGAAGGAGAUUGAGGUCGGCGCCUCCUGAAGGCAUGCAUGCUUGUCACUGAGAGAGGGAAGGGCAUCUCUUUUUUUGGGUUGCAAUUUCCACCUUGUUGUUGGGUGAGGUGAGUCAUGAUUUCUCUCCUCCCGCUUCAUUUUUCAGUCCUCUCUAACUUCAGAAAUUUCCUAAUUUGUUUGAUCUAUAUGUAUGUAAAACAUUAUGAUUAGGAUCCCUCUAUUUGAUUAAUUUCUAAGUUACUGAAUUAUAAUUUCUGUUUUGUGCUCAUGAAUUGCAUACUUGGAGGUUUAUUCGAUUUAGAGAUAGCCACACACACACACACACACACACACACACACACACACACACACACACACACACACACACAUUUGGAGUAGGUGGCUACAACAAAUUUUAUACUAUGAUAAGUGUGUGGUUCAGUCAACCAAAUUAUUGCCUUAUAUUUUAGUUAAAUUUAUUGCUGUGAUCUAUAAGAGAAGCUGCCAUUUUGGCAAUAGAUGCGCGAUAAAGUAGUGGUUGGUGUUGGUUUAAUCCAUUAUCAAAUGUUUUGCCAAUAAAGGAAAAUUACCUUCCUCGUACAUUUAUUGUAUUUCUGUUUCAUGGUCCAGCUGAUUUGUUGUUUGUCAUACCUCUUGUGGAUAAUCAGACAUGGGGUGCAUGGCAAAAUUAGGACAGACUGAAGGCAGCAGAUUCCGUGUCGGCCGUGCACUUUGAGGAGGACAUUGUCUUUGUAUAAGUGCCCUACAAUCGUCCCUUUAUAGCCACAGAUAAGGCCUUCAGGUAGGCUGGACAAAGUGUCAUACACUUAUGUAUCUGUAUUUGUGAUGAUCUUUUUAGCAUUCUUAAUUGAUGACAUUUCUGAACGGAGAUGAUCCUCACCAUUUCAUAGUUAUUUUUCGCACUGUUGUAAGAUCAAGUUUCACAUUCGAACUUAACUUGUUAUCAAAUAAUUUUGGAACAUAAUUUUACUUUUACCUGCCCUCCACAGAAUCAAAGGUUCAGGAGGACUUUUGUUGCACUAAUGCUUCUUCGUUGACCAUCUCGCCGUUCUCCCUUGCAUAUGGAUAUGGCCGCAUAAAUCGCACCGAUGGAUCCAGUCCUUCGCCAGGUCCAACGUGCCUGCACCGGCCUCAAGCACGGGAGACACUAUAACCUUGUGAUCUAACUGGUUACCACAAUCAAAUCCAUUUUUGCCCAUUUAAAUUGGUUCGCUCAGUUUUGUUGAUAACUGAGUUUCAUUGGUUAUAUAUACUGAAGUGUCUUUGUCAUUUUGUUUUACAAUAUAUUCUAAUUGUCAGGAUUUUUGCUACAUUUUUGGUGUAGAUUUUAGGGACAUUACCGUAGUGCUAAUGCCUUCCGUGCAGGUUAUCCAGUCAGCGCAUAUUCUGUCUUUUAGCAUGUGUAUGCUUUGCUCUUGUGCCCAUGUAAUCGUGACCUGUAAUCAGUCCAUGAUCCUUGUGUGACGUGAUCACAGAAGUUGGGCAUAACUGCAUUGUUACUGAGAAGAUGCGAAUAUUAACUUAGGGAUCGGAGCUGAAGCUCUGGCCGAUAGCAAAGAUAUGAAGUCUGAGCUCUGUCUAUGUUUGCAAGUAUAUUGUUGUGACUUCACUCUUGCCCCCGUAUUGGGCAGAUGCUUCAGAAUGGAGUCACUUCUAUGUGUAUGGCCGCUGUAACCACACAACAUGAAUUUUCCCCUUUUUUUUAUCUGAAAUUCUGGCAAGAAACUUGUUGGAUUAACUACGAUUUUAUCCUAUUUACUACUAGCAUUUAUUCUUAUCUCAACAAAUUGUUGCCGCUAUCUAGGACAGUCGGAAGAAGAGGGCUUUGACUGGGAAGCAACAUGUUGAAGCAAUACCUCUUGUUGAACCACCCAAAACCAAAGUAUCCUCUUAGAUUGCGAGAGGCCCGUUGUGUUUAGUAAAAGACUUGGUGUAAAAUAUCCAAAAUAUUAGGAACCCUAUGUAUUGGGUAGACCUGAAAUACUAAUAUAAGUGUAUCCAACUCUUCCUACGAUUCCCUUUCGCCCAUGGACGUAAACCAUGUCUCUGGCUUUG
rnacentral:lncRNA from 1 species